rnacentral:rRNA from 1 species
GACGAACGCUGGCGGCGUGCUUAACACAUGCAAGUCGAACGAUGAAGCCCAGCUUGCUGGGUGGAAGAGUGGCGAACGGGUGAGUAACACGUGAGUAACCUGCACUGAACCCUGGGAUAAGCACUGGAAACGGUGUCUAAUACUGGAUACGACCUAUCACCGCAAGGGGUGUGGGUGGAAAGAUUUAGCUGUUCUGGAUGGACUCGCGGCCUAUCGGCUAGAUGGCGAGGUAGUGGCUCACCAUGGCGACGACGCGUAGCCGGCCUGAGAGGGUGACCGGCCACGCCGGGCCUGAGACACGGCCCGGACUCCUACGCGAGGCAGGAGUGCGGAAUAUUGCACAAGGCGCGCAAGCCUGAUGCAGCAACGCCGCGUGGGGGAUGACGGCAUUCGGGUUGUAUACCUCUUUUAGUAGGGAAGAAGCGAUAGUGACGGUACCUGCAGAAAAAGCACCGGCUAACUACGUG